CUAUAACCUCAUCAUCUCCGUGAGGACCUGGUCGGUAGCGAUAAACUGAGUCGCUAAUGCCAACGGCGCGGCAGGCCAUUCGUAAACUAACCUGAUAUUGUUUGCGAGCGUAUUCGAAAAGCUCGCGCUUAACCGAUGGCCUU
rnacentral:sRNA from 1 species